rfam:Triticum aestivum genome assembly, contig: Triticum_aestivum_CS42_TGACv1_scaffold_097551_2AL
UUAAUACUCCCUCCGUCGAGAAAUACUUGUCCUAGAAAUGGAUGUAUCUAGACUUAUUUUAGUUAUAGAUACAUCCAAUUUAUCCACUCUUAGAACAAAUAUUUCCCACCAGCCGGAGAGGGAGUACCUA